rnacentral:rRNA from 1 species
GAUGAACGCUGGCGGCGUGCUUAACACAUGCAAGUCGAACGAUGAAGCCCAGCUUGCUGGGUGGAUUAGUGGCGAACGGGUGAGUAACACGUGAGUAACCUGCCCUUAACUCUGGGAUAAGCCUGGGAAACUGGGUCUAAUACCGGAUAGGAGCGUCCAUCGCAUGGUGGGUGUUGGAAAGAUUUAUCGGUUUUGGAUGGACUCGCGGCCUAUCAGCUUGUUGGUGAGGUAAUGGCUCACCAAGGCGACGACGGGUAGCCGGCCUGAGAGGGUGACCGGCCACGCUGUGUGACAAACAGGGCCCCGACUGCUGCGGGGGGCGGGCGUGGGGAAUAUCGCAAAGGGGGGCCCAGCCGGCGGCGGCGCGGCGGCGUGUUGCAGGACGGCCUUCGGUGGGUCAACCUCUUGCGUAAGUGAACAAGCGACAGGGACGGAACCCGAAGAGGCAGAACCGGAUACAUACGGGCGAGCCGCCGCGGUAAUACUGGGACGAGCAUACGCAUGCAC